rnacentral:rRNA from 1 species
GAUUUCUGGCUUGUCUCCCUGUGCCGGCCACGGUUUCGUGUGUCAGUGUGCGGGGUGUCGGCCAUCCUUCCUCUCGCUGCUCGCCUUUCUUCAUUGAUGGGUGGGUAGGGGUGGAUCGUUUACUUUGAAAAAAUUAGAGUGUUUCAAGCAGGCUCAAUGCUAUGAAUACAUUAGCAUGGAAUAAUAAUUUAGGACUUCGGUUCUAUUUUGUUGGUUUCUAGGACGGAAGUAAUGAUUGAUAGGGAUAGUUGGGGGUGCUAGUAUUCAGCGGCCAGAGGUGAAAUUCUCGGAUUCGCUGAAGACUAACUUAUGCGAACGCAUU